UUGGAUGUGUUAAUGAAAAUUUUUAGAACUAUUUGGGAAACAUAAUUGGAAAUCUAAUUUGCCUGAUUUGUUAAUGUGCGUUUGGGUGAUUAACUUUGUACUGCAAAUUGAAGGCCUUAGAGGCUUCAGAAACCAGAAUAUGGGACAUAUUUAUGAUCAUCAUAAUUUUUAGAGUCAUCUGGAAAGUUUAAUUGAAAUUUAAUUUUUCGCGAUUCGUAAGGGCGUGUUUGGCCCUCCUUAUUUGUGAUAAAGCUUGUAUAAUUAAAUAUAUAGGUGUGUAUGAGUUAUAUAAGUGGUGAACUCAUACUUUUGGAGUCAAAAAACAAAAUAUCUAAAGAGAGAGAGAGGAAACCGUGAAAGGGAGAGAGGGAAGAGUGUCAAUUUUCCCAACAUCCAUGGAGGCCUUGAAGAUGAUGGAAGAGAAUUGAAGGAAAAGAAAGAAGAUCACCCAUGGGACUUGGAGGAAUUGAAGAGAGCUAAGAGGUAGACAAAGAUUGAGUUAGGUCGAGACGAGGAUAUCGUCCUAUUACCACCGGGAACCGAUCACUGCACUCCACCUGGAGGUCAGUUUUAACCCAUGGCAUCCGUGCCUCUUUUGUCAACCUCAGAGUAUCCAGGCACUUAAGUGAAGGCAGCCCUUUUUGCUAAACUUUUGAUUUUACACUCUGAUUGUUUGCUUAAGGUUGAUGUAUAUAUAAUUCCUUUGCCUGUCCAUGUUGUUUUACGCCCAAUUCUAAGGGCUGGGUCUGUAUAUAUAUAUGUACAUAACUAACUCUCUGGUGCACGUCACUGUAUGUUUAUUUGCCUUAUGUUCUGUCUGUGAUCCUGGCAUGAUA